rnacentral:rRNA from 1 species
UAAGGAAUAUUGGGCAAUGGACGCAAGUCUGACCCAGCCAUGCCGCGUGAAGGAUGACGGCCCUAUGGGUUGUAAACUUCUUUUGUACGGGAAAAAACCUUCGAACGUGUUCGAAGCUGAUGGUACCGUAAGAAUAAGCAUCGGCUAACUCCGUGCCAGCAGCCGCGGUAAUACGGAGGAUGCAAGCGUUAUCCGGAUUCAUUGGGUUUAAAGGGUGCGUAGGCGGGAUAAUAAGUCAGUGGUGAAAGCCUACAGCUUAACUGUAGAACUGCCAUUGAUACUGUUAUCCUUGAGUAUAGUUGAGGUAGCUGGAAUGUGUGGUGUAGCGGUGAAAUGCUUAGAUAUCACACAGAACACCAAUUGCGAAGGCAGGUUACUAAACUAUAACUGACGCUGAGGCACGAAAGCGUGGGGAGCAAACA